rnacentral:lncRNA from 1 species
CCCAGGAAGGGAGCAUAGCCCCUGUCUCUGCUUCUAUGGGGCACCCCUAUGACAGCCCACCCUCCUCAGUACCCUGCCCGCUGUUAGGACUCAGUUUACCUCCUUGGACAGUAUCUUAUCCCCGGUUGAGUUAGGUAGGGCUAAUGCACACCCUGGGUGUUGGGGCUUCCUGGAAUUACAGGAACUACUGAGGGACAGGGCAGGAACUCCCCUACCUGCCCCACCCCACAAGGCCCCUCGUGGGAGUAGGGGUGGAAGUGUGUGCGUGAGAGGCAGUUUAGAAGGGUAGCCGGAGCACCAGCUGGGACCCAGACUGCCAGGCCCCAGUCCUGGCUCUGCCAUUUCCUAGCAACAUGACUUUGUGCCUCAACUUCCCCAUCUGAGAAGAAUCAUCGUGAUGAUUCAAAUUGAAGUGCUCAGUCACAAUGAUCCAUUGUGAUUAUGUGCUGGGAGGAGGGGGCUGCCCAUGCCCUACCUCCCUCGCCACCUUCCCUCCCACUGAAAGAGGGGACCGAUGAGACACCCAUUCCCUACCUCCCUCGCCCCCUUCCCUCCCACUGAAAGAGGGGACCAAUGAGACACCCAUUCCCUACCUCCCUCGCCCCCUUCCCUCCCACUGAAAGAGGGGACGCAUGAGAUGCCCAUGCUGGCUGAGGCUGCCGUCAUGCACUCCGUUCAGCACCCACGGCCCCAGGGAGCAUGCUCCCUUCUCAUGAAGAGCACGGUGGUGGCUCAUUUUCCCCUGGCUAUCACAAGCCAGGACCCCAGGGAGCCCAGGCGUCCCCAGGCGCAGAGCAGCAUUUAGAGGCGCCAGCUGCCUCUCAGGGGGCACCUCCGCGGUGCAGUGGUUGGGGGUGGUGCAUGAGGACAGGGACUAUGGUCCAAAGGGACCUCAGGCAGGUGCAGGGCCUGUGGAAUCCCAGUGACCUUCUCCACGGUGAGGGUGGAGUUGUGGGUCUCGACUUGAUGGCAGAGUCAUGGGUGCGGGGAACAGGUGGCCACUCUCAGUCUCCACCCCUGCCCUCUUAACAGCCCGUUGAACAAAGACUGUUGAGCUCUUGGCACAUGCCCAGCGCUGUGCCCAAGCACAUUACACGUUGUUCCAGGGUCUUCCCAGCGCUGCAGGUGGAUCAUGCUGCUGUCCCAUCUGACAGAGGAGGAGAUGGAGGCUCAAGCAGGUUAUACCAGGCCCGACCACCAAUAAGAGGUCACAGGGCCCUCAGUGCCUACCCUGAUUCUCCUUUGCUGCCCCUGCUCCUCUCAUCCUAAAUCCUCCAAACUCAAGCCCUCCCACGCAUCUUUGAAUGUCUCCCGUCAUUUCCAUGAAUCUGGCAUUGUCUCUAUCCCCUCCCAUACCCUAGACUAGGGCCCCCAGCAAGGACGCAGCCUCCUUCCUCUGCAUCUCUGCAUAGAGCUCGGGACAAGGCUGAGUACACACCAAGUGCACAGGGGCAGAGGCAGGGGCAGAGUGGAGCAGGCCCUGAGAUAGUUCUAGAAAAUGGGCCCCUCGGUUACCUUUGGAGGAAGGGAAGAACCCGGCCAGGACCCUUCUGUGUCUCAACACACGUGCCAGCAGGUGGCACACGCCUGUAGUCCCAGGUACGCUGGAGGCUGUGGCAGGAGAAUCACUGAACCCAGGAGGUGGAGGUUGCAGUGAGCCGAGAUCACACCACUGCACUCCAGCCUGGGCAACGAGCAAGACUCCGUCUCAAAAAUAAAUAAAUAAA